UGUCGUUCACCUUUUCCUCUUCCUCUCCUCUGUUUCACGAGAAACAGAACUGACAAACACAACUGAAAAACAAUCCUAAUUUCACUCCCACUAACAGAUCCACGUUCAUGGUGGUUACCACAAAUUCCAUCUUCUAUAUAAAUGUUUUUGUAACAUUCUCUAAUCGCAGAAAAAUAUUUCCUCAAAACCUCUUUUAUAAUAAAAAAAUAAUGCCCCAAUCUUUCCUUCCAAAACCUCUUUCAACUGAACAAAGCUAAAUUCCUUUCAAAACAACAGUUCUGACAGAGCUACAACAUGCCUCUUGAUUUUACUCAUCUCUCUAAUCUAAAUUCUUUAAAAAGAGAAUGGAAGAUCAAAGUUCUAAUAGCCAGGACAUGGAAUUUUUAUCCAAAAGACAAACCUGGAGUUAUUUUGGGUAUUGAAGCAAUUCUAAUGGAUGCAAAGGGGGAUCGAAUUCAAGCAUCAGUGAAAAACACUUUAGUUAGAAAAUUCAAAAAGGAAUUGGUGGAAGGAAGGUUUUGUGAUAUCAUGAAUUUUGAUGUUCGUGAUAACCUUGGUGACUACAAGGGAACUGUACAUCCUUACAAGAUUAAUUUCAUGUUUACUACAUGGGUGAAGCCGUGUGAUCAGAUCCCAAGUAUAUCUCGCUUCAACUGUUAUUCUUUCUCAGAGAUUUCAACUCAAUCCAAUGUGGAUGACGUAUUCUUCGAUAUGUAUCCUCCUGCUAUUCUACAUGUCACUUUACUCUUAAAUAGAUUAACAAAUCCUUUAUCGUUUUCAAGUGGAGAUCAAUCUUUCACAGUAAAGUUUAUUUAAAAGGAAAAAUGUUGACAAUAUCUUCCUUUCUGUUUAUUUAAGCAUUCUGAUUUCCAUUUUUUUCCCAGAUAUUAUUGGAGAAGUUGUUGGUAUGAGUCAGAUUACUGAGAAAGAUUUUUCUGGACAGAAGUCAAAGCUGUUGGAUAUUCAGCUAAGAGAUCUAAGUGACACUAUCAUGGAGUGUAAUUUAUGGGAGAAUCACACUGAAGAUGUAUAUACUUAUGUUACCAAAAAAACUGCAGGUCCUAUAAUAUUACUUGGGAGUCUUAUGAGGAUCAAAAAAUUUAAUGGUAAAGUAUCUGUUCAAAAUUCUAGAUUCUCUACAAAGUUUUUUCUUGAUGGAGACCUAUCUGAGAUUGCUGAAUUUAAAAAGCAGCUGGGCAAUAGGGACUCAAAUGAUGUUCAUAGAGUUUCUCAACUCAUGACACCUGAUUUGAGCAACAAAGUUGAAGAUUCUUUCCCAUUAAGCAGCUGAGAAUCUAUUGAUCAGAUUACUAAAACUUCUCAUGUAUUUGUUUUCAUAUUCAAGUCUACUUUAUAAAGUUGAUAUAUACUUAUUUGAUUUUUAAAAUUGUUAGAAAAAUACUUGCGUUACUUUUGCAAGAAUUUUGGAAUUUCGAAAAGACAUUGAAUGGUAUUAUGUUGGAUGCACACAAUGUUUCAAGAGGGCCAUGCCCUAUUUUAAUCCAGAAACAGAAGCACUUGACCUCAACAAGUAUUCACCUUAACAAUUUAAUAAAGUAUGACACUUGCAUAUCACAAAGAUUAAAAUAUCAGCAUUCUUUGUCUUCCUCUUAGGUACAAAGUACUUGUUAAAGUUGUUGAUCAUACAGCUGCAACCGCUACCUUCCUUUUGUUUGAUAGAGAAGUUAUGCAACUUAUUCAUAAGUCUGCGUAUGAAUUGCUUGAACAGCAACUUCAGUUUAACCGUCAAGGUCAAAUUCCUCAAGAUCUCAUUGAGUUACAAGGAAGGGACAUUGUUUGGAUUGUUAAUUUCAAAGGUACUGAAAAAAAGAAUCCACAAUCAAGCUUCAAAGUUGUUAAACUGACUGAAAAACCACAAAAUGUUCAGAAAUUUCAAGAUAAUAUAAUCUUCAAGGAGAAACUCUAUCUGAAGUAUCUAUCAUAUCAAGCAUGUCAAACGCUAUUCAGAUGGAAAAUAUCUUUUUAGAAACAAAAGAUAUUGAAUUGCCUCUGUCUUCUCCUCUUACUCCAAGCACAAAACGAGGACGUGAUGAUGUCGUUGAUGCUGUUCAAGAAUCAUCAACAGAGCAAAAAUCAACAUCUAAGGUUGGAACACUUGGUAAAGCUCAGGAAACAUCAUGCAAAGCAAAAGCAUCGACGUAGUUGGUUCCAAAGAGACGAGAAAUUAUUAUGUUAUGUCACUUUGAUUGUUUUUCCAUUAAUGUAAUUCAUCCCUUUGUGCUUCUUUUUCUUUAACUAUGACUUAUUUAGUACCUCUAUGUUUGUAACUACUUAUGUAAAUUAAGUUUUUUUUUCUAAUAUUAAUGUUUUUCUAUCUA